rnacentral:rRNA from 1 species
UCAGGACGAACGCUGGCGGCGUGCCUAACACAUGCAAGUCGAACGGGGAUUUGUUUCGGCAGAAUCCUAGUGGCGAACGGGUGAGUAACGCGUAGGCAACCUGCCCUCCGGCCGGGGACAACACUCCGAAAGGGGUGCUAAUACCGGAUACGAAGUCUGUGCCGCAUGGUACGGAUUUGAAAGAUGGCCUCUAUUUAUAAGCUAUCGCCGGGGGAUGGGCCUGCGUCCGAUUAGCUGGUUGGUGGGGUAACGGCCUACCAAGGCGACGAUCGGUAGCCGGUCUGAGAGGAUGAACGGCCACAUUGGGACUGAGACACGGCCCAGACUCCUACGGGAGGCAGCAGUGGGGAAUCUUCCGCAAUGGGCGCAAGCCUGACGGAGCAACGCCGCCGUGAGUGAGGAAGUUCUUCGGAACGUAAAGCUCUGUUGUUCCUGACGAACCUCCCCUCUAUCAACAACGGAGGGGACUGACGGUAGGGAACGAGGAAGCCACGGCUAACUACGUGCCAGCCGCCGC